UUUAGCAGCCCCUCAAAGAGGGGACCAAGGGGUAUAAAUACCCCCACACACCAGAAACUAGUCGUUAGAGCUACUCAAACUGGUCAGACCGGUUGCCAGGCCGGUCUGGUUUGAAAAAAACUAGUUGUUGGUGCCCUGAACCCUCAGACUGGUCAGACCAGUUUGGCUGAGUUAGUCCGAAAACCUCCAGAGACACUUUCUCGGUCGACCUACUGGCUGAACCGACUUAAGUCAGCUGAGCCAGGACAGUUAGCUCACUCAAGGGUUUUCUCAAGACCAAUAUCACAUAGUUCAACUAAGAGCACUUUUGGUGUUGUCAAUUAGCUAAUGUUGCAUCCCUCUUGAUAGUACGACAUACCUAUAUUCAAGAAUAUAUAUAAACAUUAUAUCAUCCACUUGAGCUUGUAAGUCUUCAGCCAUGCCAUACUUUGAUCAAUAGUCACUUGAGGGCUCUUAACAUAGCUAUCAUCUUGAGCACAUCCAUCUUGAGUUAGUGACUUCAAAUUUUCCCUCGUUCAUGAUAAGAUAUAUUUGAAUCCUUAAGUCACUUCAUUUUAUCAAUCAUAAUAGAUUAGAUGCAUUGCAUUGCUUCUCUCGUUAAGGCUUAGAUAUGAUAUUUUGAAACCCCCCGAAUACUAGCCACUUCACCUUAGCAAAACACACAUAGUCCAAGCCGUCACUUGACCAAAGCUUGCUUAGUCCCUCGCUCUAGUACCUCGCUUGAUUUCUUCACCUAUUCUUACCACUUUGAGUUUAGAUUUGCUUUUGACACCAACAAUCAAAUCCCAUUUGAAAUCUUUUUCAACUGCUUGUUCUUGAUUGAUAAAGAAUGUCCCAUGAAUUGCAAACUUCCAAUAACAAGGCCAAUAUGUAACACAUAAGCUUAUGUCUUUUUAUCAUAUGCACAUGAAAUCUUGCAAUAUCCAUUUGUGAAUAUCACUUAUUCUUUUCUUAAUGAUCCCUUUACUUGUCAAUCAAUCUAUCACAUGAUUUGAAGACUUAUAGAUCAACCACAAAACACAUCCUAAGUUUUACUUCACCC
rnacentral:lncRNA from 1 species